CGUUGAACCACGGGUUCCCGUAUAAUCACUGAAGUUAAGGAACGUCGAGUCCUGUCAGUACCUAGAUGGGUGACCGCUUGGGAAUACCGGGUGCU